rnacentral:rRNA from 1 species
GAUGAACGCUGGCGGCGUGCUUAACACAUGCAAGUCGAGCGCGGUCCCUUUGGUGCUUGCACCAAAGACGACUGAGCGGCGGACGGGUGAGUAACGCGUGGGUAACCUGCCCUGUACAUAUGGAUAACAUGCUGAAAAGCAUACUAAUACAUAAUAACGUACAUUGAAGGCAUCUUCGAUGUAUCAAAGCGUUAGCGGUACAGGAUGGGCCCGCGUCUGAUUAGCUAGUUGGUGGGGCAAAAGCCUACCAAGGCGACGAUGCAUAGCCGACCUGAGAGGGCGAACGGCCACAUUGGGACUGAGACACGGCCCAA